rnacentral:lncRNA from 1 species
AAAGGAGCAGUUUCUCAUUCUCUGCACAAAAACGGGAGGGGAAAGGGUCCGAAACAGAGGGGUUUCAGUCACGUCCAUUUAGAGCACACCCAGUGAGGAGGUUCCGAAAGAGAAUAACAGGGGAUAAGAAAACAGGGCAUCAAUGGAUCUUAUAGAGAACGAGGGGUUAAAAGUUCCGGGCAUCGCAAGCUUGAAUCUGUCGUCGACCAUGUUGUAAAGCUUCACCCAUAGCCACUAUUUCUAUCGCUGCCCUCAAUGGAGCACAUGAGUUUUCAUGGAGCACAUGAGUUUUGUAACCUUGAAGAAGUUAAUGAAUCAUCUAUUACUGAAUGUUGAUAUCAAAAUACUUGACAUUUAUUUCCUAUUGAAUACUGUUUAAGUUUUGAUCAAGAUGUUUUGCAAAGCAAAUAAACUGGUUAUGAUCUUAUUAGAACCUAUGAAAAUAAUGGUGAUGAGUAACAACUUCUUUUCAUUCUAAAAAUGUUCUUAGUGCUCUUUUUUUUAAAGUCUCCCGUAUAACACGUCUUCUCUUACUUUUUCAGAAAAUUAAAUUACAGGUCCCCAGCCAUCCCAGGCAGCAGCUGACGAGUUAACAUAUGCCUUUGCCUUGAAAAUAUAAGCAUUAAGAGCGGAUAAGAGUACCCGUACUCAAGUAUUAAAGCUCUCACAGCGUCAUAAAUGCCAUAAUUUUUAUGAUAUCAGAUGGAACGGUGUAUGUAAGUUAACAACUCCAAAGGGAACAAGGGAAGAUUUGCAUAGAGAGGUGCAACGACACUAAAAAUGCUUCUAUGGUUAAAUCUGAGCAGCGUGAAGGAUCCAUGGUUUAUGUCUAUCAAUGAUAUAUGACAUUUGUGUGCAGAAGCUUUAACUAUAGUUUUCUUUUUUGAUUUCAACAUAUUUCAAAAUAUGGAUCAUGUGAACCAUGUUACACAAUGCAAUAUAUUGGAAGUGAAGGGAAUAUAAACUUCGUCUGUAUGCUGCUGAUUUGGAAUGACAAAGGCUCACUACUAAACUGGUCAAAUAAUAGACAAUGUAAUUGUGUUGUGCUUGAAGAUAAACAUGUUUCAUAUUUUAUUGGUUUUUGUAUCUAAUAAUAGUUGGUUAUGAUUGUACUAAAUAGCCUAGAGCUGCACAGUGUUCUUGGGUUCUCUUUUGCAGAUAUUAUACAGGAAAAAGAAUUACUCUCAUAUUAUCCUAUUAUGCACUUGAUGUAAAAGUGAUCUCGCAGGGUUAUUAAUUUUUCAUUUUUAUAUGGAAC